ACCUCGCUACAUCAUUGCUGUUUAUCCCUCAGCACCGAGUCUGCUCUCAACAGUCAAUUACUGUCAGCUCAUCGUCUUCAUUCCCUCCUCGCCUCCUUUUGCUCAAGAGGUUGGAUGGAUUCUCUAAUCGCCUCUUUUUCUUCAUCGUAGGCAAGAACUCGAGUAAAUAACGCUGACAGCAUCGUGGUGGUUAGCGGGCUUCAUUGGCUGUUGUCGCUGCUUUCAACCCCCCCUCCAAACCCACCCCAUCGUAUCCUCACCCUCGUCCUCGCUCCAACGCCAACCUCCCUCUUCCUCUCCCUCCCGAGGUCGUCCAUCCGCAUAUCCUAACACCGUGUUAGAUCCUAGUACCCUUCUGCACCAUUCCGUCGUUGCUCCGCUGAGCUGACUUGACUCCUAGCCGUCGUGCCCCUUAGGGCUCUUUUGCUUUUUCCGAUUUUGCCUCUUGGGUCCCUCCAACAGCCAGCUAGCCUGCCUGCCCGCUGGACACCACACACCUUGCCUUGCCUCUCGUGCAAUAAUACAUCUGGACCAUCAACCUCCAAUCCCCCAAUACCAACCAUACUACCAACACUUUUACCCAUAUUUCCUAAACCGCCACCAGGAGGGACGGGCCAUAGCUGAGGUUACUCGCUCCCGGCUCGCAACCUGGCCCCCCAAACCUUCCCUCACAGGUAGACGAUGAAUGGGGAUGAUAUAAAGAGAGCUGCAAUCAUCAAGGCAAAACAAAUGGCUAGCAGCGCGGUCAACUCGAACGACGCUACCAACGGGAACAACGCUGGCAAGAAGCGAAGGAAGGGCACUGAUCUCAGGCCCAUCGUCACCAACGAUUCGAUUCCAUCAGUCGUGACUGUUGAGUCCAUUCCAGCCUCCACCAUGCCGACGCCGUCCGCUAAACAUCAAGGG
rnacentral:sRNA from 2 species